rnacentral:misc_RNA from 1 species
UCUCCGUUGGUGAACCAGCGGAGGGAUCAUUACAGGACUCGCAAGACUCCUACAACCCUGUGAACUUAACUUUAAGCACGUUGCUUCGGCGGGUGUCUCGGAGGGGGUUCUCCCUCCCCGAGACGCUAAACCCGCCGGCAGUCUGCUAUACUCUGUCUCUUUUCGUUGGCAUCUCGAGGACAAUCAAACAAGUUAAAACUUUCAACAACGGAUCUCUUGGUUCUG